rnacentral:tRNA from 1 species
UACAAAGUAGUAUAUUAAGUACAAAGGGUUUUGAACUCUUAGGAAACAAAUAGGAUUUGUUUUUUGUA